rnacentral:lncRNA from 1 species
AUGCAAGCCUGGAGACCCAGGCAGCUGCCGAUAAGCCCACUGCUCACCUCCCUUGUCUCGCUCUUGACUCUUUUUUUCCUUCGGAAUGAUUCUUUCUCGCUCUGUUUGGUUCCUCGGCAUUUUUUUUUUUUCUUUUUUUUUUUUUUUUUUUUUUUUUUUUUUGCUGCCUUCCUGGAGAUUUUGGGGCGGUGUUUACAGACUCUUCUUCUCUGCCUCCACCCUGCUCUCUUGGCCCGGGCUUCCAGCCUCUUCUGUUUUCCAGCCAGACCCAGAAAAACGAAAACACAGCUCGGGGAGCCCCCACCAGCCGGGGCCUGUGCCAGCUCACCUCUGGCCAUGGCGCAGCUGCUGGUGCACACAGCGGCCAAGGCCGGCUCCACAUUCCUCCCUCCCUCUCCCCACUUCACCGGAGAACGAGCCCUGCAUGCAGAGGAAGGGCCCCAGCUCCACGGACUGCCAAGGUCGACUGGGUCCCUCCUCACCAAAAAUGGUGAGACAAGAUUUCAUCUUGUCUGCAGAGAAGCCACAAGCAGAUCUCACUCCACGGAACUUCGAGGAAGGCGAGGUUUUGGAGGAGCGGCUCUCCCGCUGCCUGGUGGGUUCCUUCCAGUACCAGGCCUUCAAGGUCACCGGUGCACAGCGCCUGGGAAGAGCAGACGCCCAGGGAGCAUCCCAGUUCCAGCGCUGCCCUGUAGUGUUUUCCCCAGAAAGUCCCUGAGCGGGGACGGCCUCCCUCCCCCUUCAGAACCACCAGCCCCAGGUCCCAGGCUCCCUGCAAGAGCAAUUUCUUCCGCACAGUGCCUGUCACGGGAGCCCAGACUCCCCAGGUUGGCGCAAACUUGGAGUGAAGGGCACGGUGCCGCCCUGGCCCUGGGGGAGGUCGGGGUGAUUCCGCCAGCGGCGGCGGUGGUGGUGGUGGUGGUGGUGGUGGUGGUGGAGGGGACGCAGCCUGGCCCUACGGUGCGGGUGCCGAGGCUCUGCCCUUGACCGGACCUGGAAACUCAGCAUUCGCUUAAAAGAGGUAGCACGCGUUAGAAGCAGGGAGAACUCAGAGAAGCGCUCAGCCGGAAGGAGGAAACGCCUUCUCGCAGUCCUCAGCUGGCGGCGGGGGUACGGGCCCGCUGGACUGUGGGGCCCAUGCCACCCAGAGAGUGAGCUCCCCGUCACUCGGGGAGCGCAGGGCGGCCCCAGGGCGUCUGGGCGACUGCGACGUGAAAAGGGCGAGAGGUCUCUGGCCCCGCCGCGGUCUGGCCCUGCUACUGCCUCCGAAAGCAGUCCCACCCGCCGACCUCCACCCCCACCGUAGCUGGAGGCUCAGGGCCCCGCAACAAAGCAGGAAACCAGCGCGGGGCUGCGGAUUCAUUAGGUCAACAAAUACAGUGAAGACGUUCGAGCGGUCGAAGGAAGCAGGGGUUUGGGAUGUAAGCCAGGCCCCGCGCAGCCCCGGCUUUCUCGCGGAGAAACCGGUGCAGGCAGCCAGGCGGCCACGCGGCCUGGGCCCGCGGGAGUCCGUCGCUGCUCAGAACCCUGAAGACUCCCGCGUCCCCGACCCGGGCUGCGCAUUCUUAACGCACAGAGCAAGCGAGGGAAGGAAACUCACCAGCGCAGCCACGAGCAGAGGGGACAGAGCAGAGGAUGCGAGGUGUGAGCAGACUUUUACGGCACGUUGUCUGCCGCAAGCAUCGUAACGAUGCGUGCGCCUCCAUAGGCACGCAGAUUCGCACGCGAAAUGCGCACACACACGCAGUAGAGGAGGACAUCCAGCGUCGUGGGGGUGAAAUACAGGCGUCAUACCGAGCCCCGAGGAAAACUAUUCCACCCAGUCGGACCAGCCUGGUGACAUGCUUUGGGGUGGCUGGUGUCUCCCUACCCGGUCUGACUUUUUCCGGCCACUCUCCAUUCCGUCCCUCGUGGCUUUGUAAAAGACACCUGUCCCCAGUGGGAGGCGAGCCCCUGCCUGGCGUUUACCUGGUUGGGGCGUUCUCCCCAGAAACUCCGGCUGGCUCUGGGAACCCGCGCGGAGCCCGACAGGAGCACCGACGCUGCUCGUGGCGCCCCAGCCGCUCCUUUGUCCCGCUGCUCCAGCCCCACUCAGCCCAACGCUCAGGGAAACGAAGCAGCUCAAUAAAAACUUUUGAUAUUAGUUUUUAUGGGUAUUU